CCUACGGGAGGCAGCAGUGGGGGAUAUUGCACAAUGGGGGGAACCCUGAUGCAGCGACGCCGCGUGGGUGAAGAAGCGCCUCGGCGCGUAAAGCCCUGUCAGCAGGGACGAAAAUGACGGUACCUGAAGAAGAAGCCCCGGCUAACUACGUGCCAGCAGCCGCGGUAAUACGUAGGGGGCAAGCGUUAUCCGGAUUUACUGGGGGUAAAGGGGGCGCAGGCGGCGAUGUAAGCCAGUGGUGAAAUACCGGGGCCCAACCCCGGGACUGCACUUGGAACUGGGUGGCUGGAGUGCAGGAGGGGCAAACGGAAUUCCUGGUGUAGCGGUGAAAUGCGUAGAUAUCAGGAGGAACACCAGUGGCGAAGGCGACCUGCUGGACUGCAACUGACGUUGAGGCCCGAAAGCGUGGGGAGCAAACAGGAUUAGAUACCCUAGUAGUC
rnacentral:rRNA from 1 species